UACGGGGGGGGCAAGCGUUGUUCGGAAUUACUGGGCGUAAAGGGCUUGUAGGCGGCCAACUAAGUCAGACGUGAAAUCCCUCGGCUUAACCGGGGAACUGCGUCUGAUACUGGAUGGCUUGAGUGUGGGAGAGGGAUGCGGAAUUCCAGGCGUAGUGGUGAAAUGCGUAGAGAUCCGGAGGAACCCCAGAGGCGAAGGCGGCGCCCUGGCUCGCAACUGACGCUCAGACACGACAGCAUGGGGAGCGAACGGA
rnacentral:rRNA from 1 species